rnacentral:rRNA from 1 species
GNACCAUGNNUNAAGCCGNCCACAUGCCGCGUGUGUGAAGAAGGCCUUCGGGUUGUAAAGCACUUUUGUCCGGAAAGAAAUCCUUGGCUCUAAUACAGUCGGGGGAUGACGGUACCGGAAGAAUAAGCACCGGCUAACUACGUGCCAGCAGCCGCGGUAAUA